GAUGAACGCUGGCGGCGUGCCUAAUACAUGCAAGUCGAGCGAACAGAUGAGGAGCUUGCUCCUCUGACGUUAGCGGCGGACGGGUGAGUAACACGUGGAUAACCUACCUAUAAGACUGGGAUAACUUCGGGAAACCGGAGCUAAUACCGGAUAAUAUAUUGAACCGCAUGGUUCAAUAGUGAAAGACGGUUUUGCUGUCACUUAUAGAUGGAUCCGCGCCGCAUUAGCUAGUUGGUAAGGUAACGGCUUACCAAGGCAACGAUGCGUAGCCGACCUGAGAGGGUGAUCGGCCACACUGGAACGGAGGCACGGUCCAGACUCCUACGGGAGGCAGCAGUAGGGAAUCUUCCGCAAUGGGCGAAAGCCUGACGGAGCAACGCCGCGUGAGUGAUGAAGGUCUUCGGAUCGUAAAACUCUGUUAUUAGGGAAGAACAAAUGUGUAAGUAACUAUGCACGUCUUGACGGUACCUAAUCAGAAAGCCACGGCUAACUACGUG
rnacentral:rRNA from 1 species